UACGUAGGGUGCGAGCGUUAAUCGGAAUUACUGGGCGUAAAGCGUGCGCAGGCGGUUUUGUAAGUCUGACGUGAAAUUCCCGGGCUUAACCUGGGAAUUGCGUUGGAGACUGCAAGGCUGGAGUCUGGCAGAGGGGGGUAGAAUUCCACGUGUAGCAGUGAAAUGCGUAGAGAUGUGGAGGAACACCGAUGGCGAAGGCAGCCCCCUGGGUCAAGACUGACGCUCAUGCACGAAAGCGUGGGGAGCAAACAGG
rnacentral:rRNA from 1 species